GAGCAGGAAGUGUAAAUUGAACGUCUCACCGGCAGCGCCAAAACUAAAUAGGUGUGGAUUUUGUUUCUACGUCAUACGUGAACACCUGGGGAUGAAGACCAUGGGACACUUUUUAUUUUGACGAUAUCGACACAACUGAAAAAGUACUCACGGAAGGGGUUGGCCAGCUUCCUGACCGUCAGGGUGAAGCCGCUGCCGGCGUUGUGCAGGCGGAAGAAGAUCAUGGCCACGUUUUGCGACGAGCGCACGCUUCUUCUGGCGGAGGCGGAGUCACAAAAGCCCACGUAGCGCUCGUGCGGGGCCAGCGUGUGGUCCUGGGAGCUGGGGAACUUCUCCCCCUUCAUCACCCAGCCGUCAAACACCUGCAGGGGACGAAGCGGUCAGGACGACCGGGACCGCCCGGCGGUGGCGGCAACCUCACCGUGAUGAAGUCUCCACCCUGGCAGUCGAUGUCCACGCUGUCGUACUCCACGCUGAUGACCUCGUGGGGCUCCGCCAUGAAGAAGGCGGCGCAGCUGAGCUGGGGCUGCUCCGCCGUGAAGGUGAAGCGACCCUCCACCGACACCAUGUCCAGACAACCUGCCACACGUCCACACCGCUCGGAGUUGAAAAAGGAAUAGAGUUCAUCCGUCAGGAUGUCGUUGUCCUGCCCGGAGGAGAAAAGAGGGAGUGAGAUGCGUGACGACGACGAUGAUGAUGAUGAUGAUGAUGAUGAUGAUGAU